rnacentral:rRNA from 1 species
CCAAUAGCGUAUAUUAAAGUUGUUGCAGUUAAAAAGCUCGUAGUUGAAUUUCGGGGUUCUACCGUUGGUCGGGCUUUGUCUGUACUGGCGUGUAGAAUUUCUACCUUCUGGGGAACCAUCAUGUUAUUAAUUUAACGUGGUGGGAAACCAGGACCUUUACCUUGAAAAAAUUAGAGUGUUCAAAGCAGGCUUAUGUCUGAAUACAUUAGCAUGGAAUAAUAAAAUAGGACGGUGGUCCUGUUUUGUUGGUUUCUGAAUCACCGUAAUGAUUAAUAGGGAUAGUUGGGGGCAUUAGUAUUCAAUUGUCAGAGGUGAAAUUCUUGGAUUU